UGAUGCUGCUGCUAAAACCUUCUCUGGUAUAAUUGCUUAUUUCUGAAAAUUUAAUUUAAUAAAGUAGAUUAUAAUUGGAGAAUUAAAGCUGAUUUCUUUUAUGUAUUAUAUGUAAGACCUUGCAAAAGAACUUCUUGAAAUGUUUACAAGUAAAAUGAUGAAACUAUUUUUCACAAAUAGUGGCUUAGAAUUUAAUGAGACUCAGGUUUACUUAUGGUGUAAGUUAAUUCAUAAUUUUAUAAAUUAUAGUUCUCUCAACCAUUUAAUAUUUUCUAGGUGAAACUGGUAUGGUAUUAUAACAACACAUUUGGAAGGCUAAACAAAAAGAAAUUUAUUGCUACAUUUUCCAGAUGAAGUUGACAUUAGAAGCUAUAUGCGGACAUACAUUGGAAGCAUUUCAAGUCGCUUCAUUGAUGGUUAUGGAUUAAAGGAUUGAAGCAUGUUUACACGACAAAAUCAUUUGCUUGACUUGCUUACGAAGAGGCUUCCAUAUAAGCCAUUGCAAGUGAUUCCUCAAGUAUCCAAGGAUCUACAGAUGAUUAUUUUGUUGUUUAGUCGUAUCUGACAUUUACUUAGAUAUUUAAUUCAAAAUGUUAAAUUUUUUUAAUGAAAAAC